CCCCUGGACAGAUACUGACACUCAGAUGCGAAAGCGUGGGGAGCAAACAGGAUUAGAUACCCUGGUAGUCCACGCCGUAAACGAUGUCUACUUGGAGGUUGUGGCCUUGAGCCGUGGCUUUCGGAGCUAACGCGUUAAGUAGACCGCCUGGGGAGUACGGUCGCAAGAUUAAAACUCAAAUGAAUUGACGGGGGCCCGCACAAGCGGUGGAGCAUGUGGUUUAAUUCGAUGCAACGCGAAGAACCUUACCUACUCUUGACAUCCAGAGAACUUUCCAGAGAUGGAUUGGUGCCUUCGGGAACUCUGAGACAGGUGCUGCAUGGCUGUCGUCAGCUCGUGUUGUGAAAUGUUGGGUUAAGUCCCGCAACGAGCGCAACCCUUAUCCUUGUUUGCCAGCGAGUAAUGUCGGGAACUCCAGGGAGACUGCCGGUGAUAAACCGGAGGAAGGUGGGGACGACGUCAAGUCAUCAUGGCCCUUACGAGUAGGGCUACACACGUGCUACAAUGGCGCAUACAGAGGGCGGCCAACUUGCGAAAGUGAGCGAAUCCCAAAAAGUGCGUCGUAGUCCGGAUUGGAGUCUGCAACUCGACUCCAUGAAGUCGGAAUCGCUAGUAAUCGUGGAUCAGAAUGCCACGGUGAAUACGUUCCCGGGCCUUGUACACACCGCCCGUCACACCAUGGGAGUGGGCUGCAAAAGAAGUAGGUAGUUUAACCUUCGGGGGGACGCUUACCACUUUGUGGUUCAUGACUGGGGUGAAGUCGUAACAAGGUAGCGCUAGGGGAACCUGGCGCUGGAUCACCUCCUUAAACGAUGAU
rnacentral:rRNA from 1 species